rnacentral:rRNA from 5 species
UUAACCUUCGGGAGGGCGCUUACCACUUUGUGAUUCAUGACUGGGGUGAAGUCGUAACAAGGUAACCGUAGGGGAACCUGCGGUUGGAUCACCUCCUUA